rnacentral:rRNA from 1 species
GAUGGACGCUGGCGGCGUGCCUAAUACAUGCAAGUCGAGCGAACGGACGAGGAGCUUGCUCCUCUGACGUUAGCGGCGGACGGGUGAGUAACACGUGGAUAACCUACCUAUAAGACUGGGAUAACUUCGGGAAACCGGAGCUAAUACCGGAUAAUAUAUUGAACCGCAUGGUUCAAUAGUGAAAGACGGUUUUGCUGUCACUUAUAGAUGGAUCCGCGCCGCAUUAGCUAGUUGGUAAGGUAACGGCUUACCAAGGCAACGAUGCGUAGCCGACCUGAGAGGGUGAUCGGCCACACUGGAACUGGGACACGGUCCAGACUCCUACGGGAGGCAGCAGUAGGGAAUUUUCCGCAAUGGGCGAAAGCCUGACGGAGCAACGCCGCGUGAGUGAUGAAGGUCUUCGGAUCGUAAAACUCUGUUAUUAGGGAAGAACAAAUGUGUAAGUAACUAUGCACGUCUUGACGGUACCUAAUCAGAAAGCCACGGCUAACUACGUG